rnacentral:rRNA from 1 species
ACUCCUACGGGAGGCAGCAGUGGGGAAUAUUGCACAAUGGGGGAAACCCUGAUGCAGCCAUGCCGCGUGUGUGAAGAAGGCCUUCGGGUUGUAAAGCACUUUCAGUAGGGAGGAAGGUAGUGUAGUUAACACCUGCAUUAUUUGACGUUACCUACAGAAGAAGCACCGGCUAACUCCGUGCCAGCAGCCGCGGUAAGUACGGAGGGUGCGAGCGUUAAAUCGGAAUUACUGGGCGUAAAGCGCAUGCAGGCGGCCUGUAAGUCAGAUGUGAAAGCCCGGGGCUUAACCUCGGAAUUGCAUUUGAAACUGGCAGGCUAGAGUCUUGUAGAGGGGGGUAGAAUUUCAGGUGUAGCGGUGAAAUGCGUAGAGAUCUGAAGGAAUUACCAGUGGCGAAGGCGGCCCCCUGGACAAAGACUGACGCUCAGAUGCGAAAGCGUGGGGAGCAAACAGGAUUA